rnacentral:Y_RNA from 1 species
GGCUGGUCCAACUGCAGUGGUGUUUACAACUAAUUGAGAACAACCCGUUACAGAUGUUUAUGUUCCUUCUCCACUCCCACUGCUUCACUUGACUAGCCUUUA